GAUGCCGCGGAAAGAUUCAGACUCCUUUCGUCACUGUUAUCUGUCGUGAUGGGUGUGUGUGGGAGAGGAUGCACAGGAGGUGCUGACAGUCUUGCUGACUGGUGGGGAGAAGAUGUGCUGCCCCUCUGGGACAUGAGGUGCUGCUGGAGACCUCAGGAGACACCAUACACAUGGGUGCCCCAGCCUUGAGCACUGAUGCAGCCACAUAACACAAGUACAGAGGCUGUGCACUGACACCACACCCUGCAUCCCACCACUGAGGAGCUGGGGAAAAAAGGUGGCCGCUAUGAAUGACAGAACUGAAACCAGAGGUCUGUGCUGCAGGAAAGGACUGCCUCUUUAUCUCAGGCUUCAGCAGGGGGUAAGCAACCAGGGUCCUGGUGAUGGCAGAAAUGAACUGAACAGCAGUCUGUGCUGCAGCUAAGGAUGACCAGCGUCAGCAGGGGGUCAGCAGCCUGGAUGCCUAGCCACAAGAGACCUGCUGAGAACACAGCCAGCAGCACUUUAUCUGCUGUUAUUGGCUUUGGAAUGAAAUUAACUUGGAGCUUGGUAAAAGCGGCUAGGUUUAUUGAAUCAGAUUUGCCUUGUCCCUUUUUCUACAAUGUACACUUACAAAAUAAAUCUAACGCAAACUCUC